GCGGCGGGAGGCGCUCCCCGCAGCCGCGGGGCAGGGGUCCGAGGUUCGGUGGUCGCUGCUGUUGCUCGGCGAUCUCCGUGUGAGGCGGUGGGAGGGGAGCGCUCCCGGCCAGCCACCGGGACACCGUCUUCUCGCCCAGUUCCGCUGUCAGCCCCUUCCGCCACCCCCAGCCGUGCUAGCCCCGGAUUAAUUCAGACCCGCUGGCCUCCCUCCAGGAGCUCAGCAAUGACAGUUACAUCUGCAUGUUUCUAAUCGGUUUCGCAGGCUUCACCGCCCUUCUCUCCCUACAGGUUUGGUCCCAAGAAACACAGCUUCAUCCAAAACCCAUUGAUCAGUCAAGCAGUUCGGGCAACACUCUACUCUCCAAAGAAAACAGGUCCAUAUCUUUCCUGUAUUGAGGACUCCAGAGCUGGACGCAGAACUGCAGGGGUGGUCGUCCCAAAGCAGAGUAGAGGGGUUCAAGCAGAGGUUCAAGUGUGUUGGCCUCUUCCCAAGCCAAGGCUGAAGUGUCCAGUUCACAGGAUUCCCAAACCCUGUGCAGCUGUGCAUAGCAAGGAGCGGGAGCAGGAGGCAUUUGCACUUACACAGCCCUUGCACGAACAACCAUAUAUCUGGCACUUGUCCUGUUUUCCAGACUUACUACCAACAUUAUAAAUGUACUGAGUGCUUCAGAAUGCAAGACAAGAACAGCAUGUCAGCUGUUUUCAUCAGGGUACGCAAAUGAGAUUUGUAGAAGCCCAGUGGAAGAACAUCGCAUCAACUAAUGGAGACUUCAGGAGUCAGUCUGCUGAGUUUGUUUCUUUAUCAGUUUGGACUGACAAAGAACAUUCUUGUUGUCUGAAAAUUAUACAUGUCACCUGCCAGAUUGGAAGAAAAUCAGAAGCUGUUCUGGUAGAAUGAUGAAGUGAGCAGCGAGGAACUGACCAUUCAAUUGACAGUGGACUAUUAAUGUAAAUAUUUUUCUUUGCACUGCAGAAAGGACCUGCCAUUUAAAAUGGACAGGUUACCACAUGCUAAAAUAUUUUCCCUAUACUAGACUGCACAAAAUUCUGUUAACUAGCAUAAGUUAAUAUAUGACACUCUUGGUUUUAUUCAUCCUUAUUUGGGCAAGGCCACAGGCUUUUUUUCAUUCCCUUGAAUGAUAUAGUCCAGAAAUUUACCAGAUCUUCAAAAUUAAAAUCAGCUGUUAAAUUACUG
rnacentral:lncRNA from 1 species